rnacentral:rRNA from 1 species
UUGGACCUGAUAUCAGACAAGACUACCCGCUGAACUUAAGCAUAUUAAUAAGCGGAGGAAAAGAAACUAACCAGGAUUCCCCUAGUAACGGCGAGAAGAAGCGGGAUGAGCUCAAGCUUUAGUAUUCUA